GACGAACGCUGGCGGCGUGCCUAAUACAUGCAAGUCGAGCGGACCGACGGGAGCUUGCUCCCUUAGGUCAGCGGCGGACGGGUGAGUAACACGUGGGUAACCUGCCUGUAAGACUGGGAUAACUCCGGGAAACCGGGGCUAAUACCGGAUGCUUGAUUGAACCGCAUGGUUCAAUCAUAAAAGGUGGCUUUCAGCUACCACUUACAGAUGGACCCGCGGCGCAUUAGCUAGUUGGUGAGGUAACGGCUCACCAAGGCGACGAUGCGUAGCCGACCUGAGAGGGUGAUCGGCCACACUGGGACUGAGACACGGCCCAGACUCCUACGGGAGGCAGCAGUAGGGAAUCUUCCGCAAUGGACGAAAGUCUGACGGAGCAACGCCGCGUGAGUGAUGAAGGUUUUCGGAUCGUAAAACUCUGUUGUUAGGGAAGAACAAGUACCGUUCGAAUAGGGCGGCACCUUGACGGUACCUAACCAGAAAGCCACGGCUAACUACGUGCCAGCAGCCGCGGUAAUACGUAGGUGGCAAGCGUUGUCCGGAAUUAUUGGGCGUAAAGCGCGCGCAGGCGGUUUCUUAAGUCUGAUGUGAAAGCCCCCGGCUCAACCGGGGAGGGUCAUUGGAAACUGGGGAACUUGAGUGCAGAAGAGGAGAGUGGAAUUCCACGUGUAGCGGUGAAAUGCGUAGAGAUGUGGAGGAACACCAGUGGCGAAGGCGACUCUCUGGUCU
rnacentral:rRNA from 1 species